GACGAACGCUGGCGGCAUGCCUAAUACAUGUAAGUCGAGCUAACAGAUGAAGUGCUUGCACUUCUGACGUUAGCGGCGAACGGGUGAGUAACACGUAAGGAAUCUACCUAUAAGCGGGGGAUAACAUUCGGAAACGGGUGCUAAUACCGCAUAAUAUCUUCUUCCGCAUGGAAGAAGAUUGAAAGACGGCUCUGCUGUCACUUAUAGAUGACCUUGCGGUGCAUUAGUUAGUUGGUGGGGUAAUGGCCUACCAAGACGAUGAUGCAUAGCCGACCUGAGAGGGUGAUCGGCCACAUUGGGACUGGGACACGGCCCAAACUCCUACGGGAGGCAGCAGUAGGGAAUCUUCCGCAAUGGGCGAAAGCCUGACGGAGCAAUGCCGCGUGAGUGAAGAAGGCCUUCGGGUCGUAAAACUCUGUUAUAAGAGAAGAACAAAUUGUAGAGUAACUGCUACAGUCUUGACGGUAUCUUAUCAGAAAGCCACGGCUAACUACGUGCCAGCAGCCGCCGUAA
rnacentral:rRNA from 1 species